GCCUUGUCUGAAGGUAGUUAUCUCAAUUGAUUGUUCAGUCAGUUACAGAUGGAACUCCUUGUUCUACUUUUCCCCCCUUCUCACUACUGCACUUGACUAGUCUAAA
ensembl:misc_RNA Y_RNA Y RNA